rnacentral:lncRNA from 8 species
AUGUUGUCUUGUGUGAAUGUGCAUGUAGUGUGUGGUUUGCUCUGUUCCUUCCCUUUUCUCUUAAACAGCAUUCAGAAAGCAUCUGAUCAUUUUUUUUCUUUUAGAUGUUUUUCUUCUAAUUUCUCCUCUUUUCAGCAUGAGACUGUUAUGACAGAGGCACCUGAAGAGGUUCCAGUGGAGACAGAAAUUAUCCCAGAAAAGCUGUGGAAGCCCGUGGAAGCACCGGUCGAAGAAGCCCCCGUAGCCGAGGUCGCUCCAGCAGAGCUCCUUGUAGAGGCCCCAGUAGACCCUGUCAUCAACAUAAUGGCUGACUUUGCCAUCACAGAAUCUGUUCCCGUUGCGGAGGCAGCCAUGGCUGAACAGGUGCCCGCAGUCCCAACGGAUUCACUUGACGCCCUAUCGGAGUUGCUGAACGACGUCACUCUAGUCACUGAGCCCGCCCCUGUCACAGCUGAUAAAGUCAUUGACGAGCCAGAGUGUGAGGAGAAAGAGGCUAAAGAGGAAAUUGAAGCCCAGAUGGAAAUCGAGGCUAAAAAGGAUGCCAUAGAUGAGAAGACGGUCCUUGACGUCAUCUCUGGAGAUUUAUCUGCCCCCGACUCUGUCAUCUCAGAACUGCAGUGUCACACGCAGCUCGCCGCCCCCAAGGAUAUCCCAGCAGAGGCCGUGCUGAAUGGACAGAUGGCAGCUGAGGUGGCCAUUGAGGGAUAGAUCUCUAUGG